rnacentral:rRNA from 1 species
AUACGGAGGGUGCAAGCGUUAUUCGGAAUCACUGGGCGUAAAGGGUGCGUAGGCGGCCUGGUAAGUCAGAGGUGAAAUACACGAGCUUAACUGGUGAAUUGCCUUUGAAACUAUCAAGCUAGAAUUAUGUUGAGGUCAGCGGAAUGAGUCAUGUAGCGGUGAAAUGCAUAGAUAUGACUUAGAACACCAAUUGCGUAGGCAGCUGGCUGGGCAUUGAUUGACGCUGAGGCACGAAAGCGUGGGGAGCGAACAGGAUUAGAAACCCCAGUAGUCC